CCUGCAAAAAAAAAAGAGGAGACUCAUUAAUUACAAGCUCAUUCUUUUACGCUCGGUAAUUGAUAUGGCACAGUGCAUAAUUCACAAAUUUCCACACGCUCGCCGUUGUGGAAAACACAUCGAGCUUAAGUGCGGUGGAAAUGCAUUUAAUGUCUGUGUCUAAUCAUCAUCACUGCGGCUGGAGAAAUGGCAAAGGAGUUGGAGUUGGACUUGUAGUUGCCAGAGGAGCUGCACUCAUCGGAGCUGGCUGGCUGCAUCGCAAUUAAGUGGAAAACCCUGGCAUAAAGAAUUGCAGCCGAGACAAAAGGCUGGCCAAAAAUGUUAUGCUUUGUGGCAUUCACCAGCCACUCAGUACUCAGUCAAGUCAGUCAGUUAAGUCAGUCAGUUCGUCGCCGUCCACGCAACGUUGCCCAAAACCCCACCAGCUACAGUGCCGGACGGAGCUGUAAGGCCCAAACGAUGCCACAACGCUGCGGGUAAUCGUUGUUUAUUAAAAUUGGCCCAGGCAACGCAGCAGGACUGAGCAAAAAUACGUGCUAUAAUAAUAAUUGUUCAAAGUAUCAGCGAGUAAAAUAAUAAUGUACAUUCUCACAAAGUUUAAGCAGUGUGUUAAAAUAA